UCUUGUUUUAGGUGUGAGGCAUUUUCAACAUAUCCUCGAACAUACGACCUCUUACACUUUGAUGGCCUUUUUACUGCUGAAAGUCACAGGUGUGAAAUUAAGUUUGUGCUCCUGGAGAUGGAUCGAAUUUUACGUCCAGAUGGAACCGCAAUAAUCCGGGAAUCAGAUUACUUUGUGGAUGUUGUUGCUACCAUUGCUAAGGGAAUGCGAUGGGAAUGCCGCAAAGAAGUCACCAAAGAUGGCAUAAACUAUGAGAAAAUUUUGAUUUGCCAAAAGAAGCUAAAGGAUUCAUUCCAUAGGAAUUCAACAAGAUGAAUUAGUUUUGCCAUGAAGAAACAUAAUAUGAAAGUUACCCACAUCAAUAUAAGAGAGUUACAUUGUUCUGCAGUUAGUUAACAACUUCUAUUCUGAUUUA